rnacentral:rRNA from 1 species
CAGCCGCCGCGGUAAUACCGGCGGCCCGAGUGGCGGUCACUAUUAUUGGGCUUAAAGCGUCCGUAGCCGGGUUGGGAAGUCCUCCGGGAAAUCUGGCCGCUUAACGGUCAGAAUGCCGGAGGAUACUCCCAGCCUAGGGAGCGGGAGAGGCCGAGGGUAUUCCCGGAGUAGGGGGGAAAUCCUAUAAUCCCGGGAGGCCCACCUGUGGCGAAGGCGCUCGGCUGGAACGCGUCCGACGGUGAGGGACGAAGGCCAGGGGAGCAAACCGGAUUAGAUACCCGGGUAGUCCUGGCUGUAAACGAUGCGGACUUUGUGUCGGACAAGCUAUGAGCUUGUCCGGUGCCGGAGGGAAACCGUUAAGUCCGCCGCCUGGGGAGUACGGCCGCAAGGCUGAAACUUAAAGGAAUUGGCGGG